GCGGAUGUGGUGGAAUUGGUAGACACGCCAUCUUGAGGGGGUGGUGCUUAAUAGCGUGCGGGUUCAAGUCCCGCCAUCCGCACCA
rnacentral:tRNA from 1 species